UACGUAGGUGGCGAGCGUUAUCCGGAAUGAUUGGGCGUAAAGGGUGCGUAGGUGGCAGAUCAAGUCUGGAGUAAAAGGUAUGGGCUCAACCCGUACUGGCUCUGGAAACUGAUCAGCUAGAGAACAGAAGAGGAUGGCGGAACUCCAUGUGUAGCGGUAAAAUGCGUAGAUAUAUGGAAGAACACCGGUGGCGAAGGCGGCCGUCUGGUCUGGAUUCUGACACUGAAGCACGAAAGCGUGGGGAGCAAAUAGG
rnacentral:rRNA from 1 species